AACGCACAUUGCGCCCGCCAGUAUUCUGGCGGGCAUGCCUGUCUGAGCGUCAUUUCAACCCUCGCAACCAGCUUGCUGGAUGCGGUGUUGGGGAUCGGCCACCCAUCCCGGGAGGCCGUCCCUUAAAUAGAGUGGCGGUUGCGCUGUAACCUCCUCUGCGUAGUAGCAAUAUCUCGCAGGCGGAUAGCGGUGUAACCAUGCCGUAAAACCCCCAACUCUUCUUUGGUUGACCUCAGAUCAGGUAGGAAUACCCGCUGAACUUAA
rnacentral:misc_RNA from 1 species